rnacentral:lncRNA from 1 species
AGUCAUCAUGAUGCACCAUUGACCACCAACCUACGUAGGCACAGGUCACUAGAUUGCUUUUAAACUCAUAUUUGGCUAACAGAGUAAUAGAAGCAUUUGUGCAUGCACGGGUACAAGACUCCCAAUGCAUAUACACAGCUUGCAAGGAUUCUGAGUGCAUAUUUUCCUUCAGCUUGCCUGGCACGUGCUGGACAAAACCAAAUUGCCUGCUAAACGGUAAUGGUUGUACAGCUGAAUGAUGCAUCGAUCUCCUUGCCGCAAAGAAACAUACUCAUAGCGAUAACUCGUAAGAUAAGACAAGUCAGAUGAAAGAAGGUGCGAGUCAUCUACAAGACCUCACCACGCUGAGCC